CUAUAAAAUGAUGUGUAUAAUAUAAAAUAAUGCGUAUAAUAUAAAGUUGUGGUAGCUACCACAACUUUAUAUUAUACGCAUUAUUUUAUAUUAUACACAUCAUUUUAUA
rnacentral:miRNA from 1 species